rnacentral:rRNA from 1 species
GACGAACGCUGGCGGCGCGCUUAACACAUGCGAGUCGAGCGAGAACCGGGGCUUCGGCCCCGGGGACAGCGGCGAACGGGUGAGUAACACGUGAGUAACCUACCCUCGGCACCGGAAUAGCCCGGGGAAACUCGGAUUAAUGCCGGAUAGCCCCUCUGCCCUGCGGGGCGGCGGGAACAGGUAGCUUCGGCCUCUGGCCGAGGAUGGGCUCGCGGCGGAUUAGCUUGUUGGCGGGGUAACGGCCCACCAAGGCGACGAUCCGGAGCUGGUCUGGGAGGACGAUCAGCCACACUGGGACUGAGACACGGCCCAGACUCCUACGGGAGGCAGCAGUGGGGAAUCUUGCGCAAUGGGCGAAAGCCUGACGCAGCGACGCCGCGUGCGGGAAGAAGGCCUUCGGGUUGUAAACCGCUUUCAGGAGGGACGAAGCCACUCGGGUGAACAGCCCAGAGGGUGACGGUACCUCCAGAAGAAGCCCCGGCUAACUACGUGCCAGCAGCCGCCGUAAAAC